UUCUGCCCAUUUUCGGAACGUGUUAAACGUUUAACCCAAGUCUCAAGAAAAUUCUUUAAAGAGUAUAUGAGAAAUGGCGAAGACAUAAAAAUGAAUGUUUAGUUAUUUGCUCUUCAAAUGAGACAUUGAUCUCAAUCAGUCAUAACUUUACAUUUCAACAUAGUGAACAUAGUUUAAUAUAAAUUCUUAUAGGGCAUUUUUCAAAUUGUUUGAAUUGUUAAUUACAGUCACGUGCCAGGUAUUAAUUUUUGCGAUAGCAUGCAGGGCAAUGAUAGUUCUGGCUAUUUUGAUGACAACAGGAGCUAUCGUGAGUGCAGUGCUUGUGUUGUUUGUUAUAAAGGAGCAACAGAUCUUGCUCUUUGUAGCUGGAGGCCUGAAUCUCUUGUCUGAACCAAGUGUGAACCAAGUGUGCAACAACUUCAUGUCCUGCCCCUUGAAAUACAUAUACAAAGUUCAAAAAGGGAAUGCAUUGUUCAUGAGGCGUAGUCCCAAUAAUGUCCAGCCAAACAAAGACCUCUGGACAGAAACCGAUUGUAGACGAAAACAGCACAAGGGCGCAGAAGAGGGCAUGAAAAACAAACAACGAUACUAUACCACUCACGAACCAUGAAUGGUAAACAAUUAGAGGGACAUUCAAUGAUUAAUAUGGGCAGGAAAGGGGAGGAAUGAUUGAAGGGAAAGGAAAGUGGAUCCAAAUUUCUUCCUCUUCUACUCAAUUCGAGCAAAACACGAACAUUUAAACAAUGAUCUAUUGUUAAAUUCGUUACCACUUAUUACGAAUAUAUGAGCCGCCAUAUUGGUAUCUUCUCAAAUAAUGACGUCCGGGUGAAAAAUACCCUCUCACGUGACACAAAUGUACUGGUUUUCAAAAUUGUUAUGAUUUACGACUAUAUAAUAACUUUUCCUUUUCUUUCAGGAAUUUUCUUGAUGAUUGCUAUGGCAAUGUAUGUUCAUGAAAUAAAAACUGACGAUUCAGAUGGAGUUUCUUCAGAUCUUGGUUACGGAUUUGCCCUAGAUAUACUUGCGUGGCUGGCGGCAUGGGCAGCUGGUGGACUUUUCAUCGCUGCUAAGUUUUUGACCAAGGACUAAACAUAAGAAACAAAAUUGACAAUUGCUAGAGUAAUAAAUGUAUAAAAUAUAUUGAAUACCCUGUACUGUAACGUAUUUCUUAUGGUUUUAUAUGAUAAAUCUGAUGCUCAAAUGAAAGAUUCGUCAUUGUUGUAAGUUUUAACAAUUACCAAAUUUGACAUUUGAUAUAAAUAAAGGGAGGUACAUGUAAUUAGAAAUUUAUUUUCGAAAAAGUCUAAGCCAGUUUGUUUUUGUUGUUUUUUUGUUGUUGUUGUUUCCAAUAUAAAUGGAUGCAUUGUUUGUAACGUUUAAUUGUAAUGUGUUUAAACGUUUGCGGUACAUAUUCAACAUAUUCUUUGAUGUUUGGAAAUUGCUUUAGAAAAUUAAGUACAAUGUAUAUACAUUUAUAAAACUUUUCUCAACAAUAUGUUACAUCUUUUUCUCAGGUUACUGUACAUUUAGGUUCUCAUUGACCGCCGUACAGUGACCUAUUUUUAGCUCCAAUUUCAUAUCUUUUAAUUUGCUUAUACACCGUGGAAAUUGCAUGGAUGUAAAUUAUCAAUUACAAUUCUAGAAUAUUUAUGACCAUUGUUUGAAUACUAAGUGUAUCAAAAACAAUACCGCAAAAAUAGAUAAUAAAUGCCUUCAAAUUA